UCCUCUGUUUCUGCCCCCCUGAGACUGCUAUCAUCCAUACUGCUUUGCACCCUUGAGGAUGAAAGCAUGGGUAAGCUUGAUUGUGAUGCAUGAUGCAGGGGUUGAUACUGUUCGAGUAAACCGGAUGCCAAGUAAGAUUCCAAUUUCUUUUUCACAGAACUAUUCCAGUGGUUCUUUAUAGCAUUGUCUGUCCUGUUGACAAUCAAAUAUACAUCACUCUAUGGGUAUCUUAGCAGUGCUGAAGAUAAAUUCAAAAUAAUGAAGCUCUGUAAUGCACUAAAGUAAGUCACUACCUCAAUGAACACGAAGAAUCACACCGAGAAUUACAAGCAAUAUGUGAGUAUUAUCCCAUAACAAAGAAGUGCUUGGGGAAAGAAAUAUACUGAAAAUUUGAGCAUCUGCUUACCUGCCAG
rnacentral:lncRNA from 1 species